GUGGCAGCUCCUUGUUGCUGGAAUCAAAGAAGAGAGACCAUAAGAACAUUUUUUUUUUUUUUGGAAGAAAAGAGGUGAUGGAGUGAGUUAUUCUAACUGGGAAUUGGCAAGAGUCUCUCCCCAGCUGCUUUGGCGUGGCCAAGGGCACAGAAUUGGGAGCCUUUGACUGUAAAAGGUAGGAUGGGUCCAUCCUGGGAAGAGGUGUUCAUAAACUCUGCACGUAAAGCUUGUGUAGGAAGAGGAAGCUUCAAAAAUACAUGACAUGAAUCAAUAUAUCACAUCACAUGUCUCUUCUGAGCAAAAAGGAAAAGAUGGGAUCCUUUUGAACCUACAAGAGCAAAUCCAUCUGACUCUUUUGACUUCUCAAUGCAUAAUGGAAUGUCACACCAAGAUGUUUCUAGAACCUUCUGUCUGAAUUCAACCCACCACUCUAAUCAUGGCUCAUCAGGCCAUUGAAAACGCUAGUGCCACUGGUGCCAGAUUUUUCCUUCUUUCUUUGCUCACUGUGCUGUUGGGAAGGGUUUGUGAUGCUGUGUUAAAAUGCUUGAAACACACACAUAUACACGUAUUCCCCACCACACACACCUGCUUUGUGCCGACACAAGAUGCAUCUAUUGAUUUACCCUGAUCCUGUGAAACUUUACAAAUGUCAUGUUCAGCUCAUACUUGCAAUGGGACUGUGACUUGGGGGUCCAUGUCCUCCCAAGCCAUUUCAAAAUGCAAGUGAUAAUGAGUGCCAUUGAUCACGUCUGAUUCACCUUUUGAGUAACAGUUGGCGCUGUGGCUAGGGAGGUGCGGGCCGACGGGGCACCAUAUCAUCUGGGCUGACAGAAUACUGUCAGGGAUGCUGUAGAGAGGGCAAGAAAUCACUUUGCUUUGCAAGCCAUAAUUAAAAAUAAUAAGCUGGUGCUCAUAGAGAGACACGGUAGGCACGGCUCUAAUUUAAAACCAAUAGCGUUUAUCUGGCAUCUUAUGAUUAUUUAUGUGCAUCACAGCCCUGCUGCAUUGACUAAUUAUCAGUGGAUAGGGACGGGGGGUUGGCAGAAGAGAAUGGAGAAAGGUAACUGGGGAUAGGAUCACCAUUAGGAGAACAUCAGGGACGAUGGGUUUCCAUUUCCUCCCCAAGGCUUACAGUUUUUCUGCCCCUACAGGGUUUUUAGACUGUGCCCAAGCAGAGAGUUUACUGGCGAUUCCCACCGCUCCAUGGUUUGGUUUGCAUUCCCUAUGGUUGUGCCCUAGAACCAUCGAGAGCCAAGGUCACUCUGAGAAUCAAGAUCUCAAGAGCCAUGAGGAGAUUUGCCAUCAGCUCCCACGUGGUGAGAGAAUCCAGGCAGCUUAGCCGCCGAUCCAGGCUCCCCCAACCCCACCCCAGAGUGGUUAUACUAGCACCAUUCAUGCAUCACAACAAACUGGCCUUGCACAGUUCCAGCAAUCCUGAGGAAAGAUCAAAGUUGGCCACUCGGGAGAGCAAAAAGCAGAAUUCUUCCAAACCCAAGGUAAUCUUUUUAAAUCUCUGACCAUCUAAAAUGAUACCAUGUUGCACUCUCUUGCAUUUUUGGAACAGUGUUUUUGCAGUGAAAUUUCUGCACUUAAACAUUGAUUCAGAACCGAGUUGAUGAGGGAGCUGGAGUCACGCGUUUUCCCUCCAUGGGAAUCUAAGAGCGAUUGCUAUUGACCUCAUUUCAUGUAAACCUCCAUUUGGCUACCAUGCUGAAAACCAUAAAUGUUAGAAAAGCCUUUUUUAAAAUCAAGAACUGGCUUUGAUUCCUCCACCACUAGGCUCAGGGUGAUAUACAAUUUUAAUCCCAUCACGAGUGGGAUCUGGCUUUGUAGAAAAACACAGUACAGCCGGUUAUCUGAACGCAAGGACCACCUCCUCCACUCCCAACAUCAAGCAUGGACACUUGGCAAAGUCUCACUCUCUGAUUCACGCUCUGUUCAACUAACAUUCAGUUUCCUUUCGUCUCUUGCUGGAGUUAAAUGGGGCUUUUAGUCCCAAGCCCCCGACCCUCACGGCUUCUCAGGGAAUGCUCUUUCCAGCUGCACCAAUGGCAGCCUCUGAGUGAUAUCUUUAUGUGAUCGGAGGUGAUGACAGUUUCAUAGCAAGUUCUAAUUUUUGGCGCAUCGGCCUUUUGGUCUGCCUAUCAUCAGAAUGAGACCGAGACACAUUAGAGGAAUCUCAUUAGUAAAUAAGCCAGUACUGCUGAUACAAGAUAAACCAUCUUUAGACUGAUAGGAAAAGAAAAUUUACAAGAGCACUUUCGUCACCGUCAAAUGACUUUCAUGCCACUUUGGGGGGCAUCAGCACAUAAUUCAGAAAAGAUGAAAGAGCCAUAUAAAGGAAAUAAUGUUAACAACACUGUUAUAAACUGUGAGGCAAUGCUUUGCUGGUUGUCACCACUGCUUAGUGAUCCAUCCUGAAAAGAUAAUGCCGUAUCCUGACAUAGAAACGCUGGCUGGAGCUGUGGGUUGCCCUAAGUGACUUUCUGAAGAGCAAUUUAUGGGGCGCCUGUAGGUUGAUGCAGUGGCUGAUCCUGGGAACCGGAGUGUGGCGACUCCGUCCCCUGGCAGGGACACGGAGUUAGGAUGUGACUGACAGGAGACCGAGGAUUUCUGGGAAGCCCAGUAGACUCUUUAAUCAUGCCUGGAUGCCGUUUCUGAUCUGGUCAAACAUUUGCGAGCCGCCAGAGGAGAGCUACGCCAUCAAUCUUGAUAGUGUACGUAAAAUUACCCGGGAUUCUUGUUUGGGAUUAAGUUAAGAGUAUCUGCGUAAUAAGGGUUCAUCAUUCUCUUUCAGAAAUCAUUUGUCAGACAUGCAGCACAAUGUUUACCCCCAGCAAGGUGGGAUUUUAGAAAGCGGUUGCUGUUUGUUUAUAGUUGGGGCCCUGAGGUCUAAAUUAUCCAUCCUGUCCCAAGUCUUUGUUGGGAUGAGAAUGUGGAGGAGCCACUUUUCAUCAACAUUUAUUUGAUAACCACUAGCCAUCAAUUUGCAGCUGUCAGCAUGGAAUACAAAUGAAUAUCGACUCUUGGAGAGAACCAGGUACAGAGGUUUCUGACCAACAACCUACAGUAAAGGAAGAAAUCCACCCACCCACAUCUUCGGAUUUGUAAUGCAUCGGUUAGUUUGCUAAUAUAACGUACAUCUUAAUAAGGACAUGUUACUCAACGGAUGUUUCGUUUUGGGGUUUCUCUGUUUUUAAAUGCAUGCUUCUUAAAAGAAAAGAAUAGAUUCCAGUCUUAAAGUAGAUUUAACUCUGAGACAUAUAAAAAUAUUAGACACACUAUCAUGAGCUAUCUAUAUAUCCAGUGAUUUCGAGAGUAGUAAACAUUCUAAGAUUGCUCUACUACAGAUGCAUUGACAGCAGGACAUUGCAUGGCCAAUGGUGAGUGAAUUAAUCUAUGCAGAAAAGCAGAGUUGAGGAAGGAAAGGCAGCAUGAAGCUUAGAGGAGACCCAGAACCCCAAGGUCCAGGCAGGAGAACAGCCCUUUUGGAAGUGGGCAGUGAUCACUGUGCUAAACUCCAGGACAAAGACAUUUGUAGGCUUCAGAGGAAAAAAUGACACAUGCCUCUCUUUCCCUGUUACUCAUCUGGGGCCUGCUAGACAAAGCAAACACUGCCCAGAUGUAGACCCAGCCAUAGCGCCAAUGGCCCUGUGAAUAUGACGGAAUAAUUGAACCUGGAGCCCGGGUAGAGAUGGGCCAGAGAGCACAGGUGUCACAAGUGGGAUAAAUGGCUGCCUCCACACCCUCUCUGCCCUUGUCCAUCUCCCAGGAACAUUCCCCAAAGAGAGGUGACAACCACUCUACUGGAAAAGUGAUGCAGUGUUUCAGAACUCACCUCCCAAGACCGUGGUGCCUGGUACACAGGCGUUCCUCAAAAACAAUAUGGUUUAAAUUACUGGUUUGAAAGAAAAAAACAAAAGCGAGCUGCUCCAAAAGGUUGUGUGUUUCCCACUCACCAUCUGAGAACAGUGCUUUCAGCUGGCAAAGGAGCAGCAUAUUCUGUUAGUUUGCAAAGCGAGGCAGCUUGCAUGGGACUGAGGCUCACGGGCCUUCCCAGUGGUGGGACCUCAACCCACACAUCCCUUUCUUGCUUGUGCACCUGAAUGGAUGGCUGGGACAUAAGUGCGAGUCAGUAACAAACCAACUUCCACCAAGAUGGUGUGAGAUGAGAACAAAGAAGGAAACAUGACUUGAAAGGACUGUCCACAUCAUCGAGCUUUUCUGUACGUCCUUGUGGAUGGGGGCUGUCAGUGGUGACAACGGCUGGCCUCUGCCGAGAGCUUACGAUUCCUCUGGCACCAUACAGGGGGCUUUAUGAGUACGAUACUCUAAACCCUACAUGGUGCUACAAGCCACGGGAAAUCAUUAUCCCCAUUUACGGAGAAGCCCAUGGAGCACCAGAGAUCCAAAGCCACACAGCUAUUCUCACAGAUGGACUCUCCAGAAGCCACACCGGCUGCAGCACACAACCUCCUUCCCAAACAUGCCACAUGCAUGUGCACGCCGCCCGUUGCCUGUAUGUCUCUGCCUCUUGGCUGUGGCUUUCUGAGGAACCCUCUUCUCAGCCAGGCCACGUCCGACCACCGUGUGCGGCCCUGACACGGUCUCAAGUGAAAUGUCUGGGCCGUCGUGUGCUCGGCUGAGAGAUGUUAAGAGGUGAUUUCCCACUGUUGAUUUAGGCAAUGAACUAAAUUGAAAUUAUAUCCAUUUGGAUUAACAAAAAUGAAGACUCAGCGCCACCUCAGAAGAUCCGAGAGCAAAUGACCCUGAACAAAACGGUCGCCUGCUUCAAAACACCACCUCCAGGUGCCACGUUUGCCCAGCUAUGAAUCUUCCAUUCUUGGACAACAGAUUUUUUUUUUCAGAGCAUGAACAGAACCACAUCAAAGCAGGGACACCCAAGCAAUCUCCACCUUAUGACACGCACACCCACAGAGGAUGAGGGAGGCCUUUUGGGGAUCACAUCUGACAGGUGGCAUCAGGUUUGCAGAGGAACCUCUGAUCCAUCGGCUCAGCUGCCCUCCCCCAUGGAUUCCUAGCCGAUGAAUUCCACCUUAUUCCCAACACUCGACUUCUGCAAAGGCAGCCAACAUUAUAGGCUUCGAGACGUGCAAAUACAUCCUGUCGGUGUCAAAACAGAACUUUCUUCAUAGCCCUCAAGUGUUUUGCUAACUCACUCACGGGCUGUUCUUAACAUUUAUCAGAGGAGGAAAAUCCGCUCAAUUUCUCAAAUGGAAAAAGUGAAGAACGUCAGGGAGGUGGGUGUUUGUUUUAACGGUGGAGGCUGUGAAGGUCUGUGACGAGGUUCUGGAGAAGCCAUGAAGACCACCUCUGGAUCGCAGCCUGAUGGGAGAGACUGUGUCCCUGUCACAGUGCAUUAGCCUCUUUACCUCCUGCCACAGGGACACGGCUUCGUUGCUAGAAAGAGGAUCACAAAGGCAGAGAUCCUCAGAGGUUCCUCUCUAGCUGAUCGUCCCCUCCCGUGGCCGGUAAAGGAGUGUCAUUCCCCAGAUGACACUGGGACACGGUCUACCAGGGCUUGACGGCAGCUGCUCUGAGGGAGAGCUCAGUGACGGGACAUGCCAGCCCAUCUCCAUAAAUAUUCUUGGUCCUGGCAGAGGGCACAGCCCCGAAUUACAAAGGACAUCUUGAAUGGGGUGUUUGGGGGGCACGAAUGGGACACGGCUUUCACCUAGCAGCCUCCUUUCACAGCCUCCUUUGGGAAAGAAUCAUGAUGAUGUGGAGGCUUUCUUGUGUGCAGUUCAGGCACCCCAAAUAUCAUACCCUCAAUACCUGUUGGACUACAGAGAACCCCCCUAGUCUCCUUGACAAAAGGCAUGGUGCUACAGGAAGACCAUUAAGGAGUUUUCAGAGGGUGACUUGAAGACUAAAGCAGAAUGAGUUGGAAAGUCAGGAGAAAGGCUGGAAAGGCUUUUUGUAAGGCAGGAGAAUAGAUUUGCCUUAGGUUCUGGGGAAGGAAGGGCAGCCAGUCCCAGCCAUCCAAAGACGUCCAGAGCCACGUCUGUUCUGGGAAGGCCAGGUUCCAGAGGAUUUUUUGCUUUGGCCAUCAGCAGGACUUCAGGGCAGAGUGACCUUGGGAGAUUUUCAGGACUGUGUUUUGAAUUCAGCGAACUGCUCUGAACUUUCCCUUGACACGAAUGAGGCCCUUUUCCUAUCUCCUUCGUGUUCCAGAAUCCUUGCCAUCACUGUUCCAAUGGUUCCAUGACAGAUUUAUGGCUGGUCUCAAAAGCGUGGAGAUGGACUAUUUAGAAUGAUUUCCUCUUUCUGAGACCUGCUGUUACUGUGAGAUUCUAGACGUGUUUUGGUGCAGUGGAAAGUCCUCCAGAGGAGGGAAGGAGAAAGCAAUGGCUAAGUCCGGUCCGGGGGGGGGACCUUAUUCGUACCUGUUCCACCUUUCGUUUGUGCCAAAGAUGUUCUACAACUGAUUGGGCUGGACAGAGACGGUCUCAUUAAAAAUAAGAGCUGUCGUUGACUGUUCGUAUGCCCAUGAAAGAAUUCCCUGGGCAUUUCCUGCCAAGGCAGCCUGCAGUACCCACACUGCUUUUCAAAUAGGGCGUUCUCUUGCUGGGAUGGAAGAUGGCACUGGGGAAGCCAUCCUUCCAUGGGUUUCUUGGAGAUGACUAAGCAGAAGGACCAUCAAAAUUUGCCACCACAAUCAGCAUCACCCUUGCACCUGGGACAAAUCCGGCAGCCUGUUUCUGGGAUUUUCUCCAACCGGGCCACCUCGACGCUAAUGCUAAAGGACUCCUGAGUGUUUGUUUAUAAGAGAGAAAAGAAGAUAUUUCGCUUGUGUUCAUUUGAAACAUUUUGCAUUUUCACUCUACUUCUUUAACCUCGGUGAUAGCUGGCUCUGUAUACUGUAUAUAAAUGGAUGCCUCUGUAUUUGCCAUGUAUACUGAAAUAAAUAAACCUUUGGCAUUAUAGCCAGGCAGAAUUCAUGGGUUCCGUUCCAAUAUAAUGGUGCAAAGAAUAGCUUCACAGUACAGGUGAAACCAACAGCUUCCCCCCUUCCCUUCUCCUGCACAGAAUCUCUCCACUGGGUCGGGUCCGCCUGCCCACUCUGGCUCUUUAAGAAAACCAAGAGCUGACCGUUUUUGUGAGCCGGGAGGAUUUGGGGGCCAACCCCAAACAAGCUGUCCUGCCUUGAAGGUUGACAGUUGAUUUACACCUAGGUCACACAGAGAGUCUAUGACAUAGCACUGAGAAGGCACAGGGCGGUAGGGGGUGGGGGAGAGAGAAAACCCACAGGGUCUUCCCUGAUGGGGCCACAUCAUGGUAAGAAAUGAACUCUUAACUCUGUCUUCCAGCCAAGCAUUAAGGACACGGAGGCUGCCACCACUCAGAUCUCCCAGGCAGGCCCCCGCGCCCAGCCCCACCAUUUCAAGGCGAGCAUGUCUGCGUUAGGUUUGUGCAUUUUCCUAGAGAACUCACUCCAGCAGAUCAUUUCUCAGGCUCAAAGACGCUGGCCUUGUUAAUAUUUCAUUUAGAACAUACUGCGGAGAGCGUCUCAUUUAUAUUACUUCCAUAAUUAAUGGUGAGAGCGCAGGCACUGCCUUGAUACAGACAGAUCUCGUCACCGUGGUCCAUGCGUAAGGAGAAACAAUAGAUAUUUCAUUCACCAGCAGCUUGUCGCUAGUUAGUGGGAAUGAUCAUGCAUGCUGUUGCUUUAAUUGCCAGGGUAAAUAAUUCUGCCUCGGUGUUAGCAUUUUAAAGCACUUGAUGCAAAUAGACUAGGAACUGAACACACACACACACACACAAACUACCUUGAUUAUGCAAUAUCUUAGCAUAGAAAGUUACAAAGGUAUGUCUUUUUUUAAAAAAAAAAAUCCAUUCCAUCAUGCAAAUAUUAUCUAAAUAUGCAUGUGCUGACGACUCAUCUACUGUAUUUUAGGAAAUACAAUUAGGCUGCCUUUCUCUUCUCCUGUGUGGACUGUAAAUACCUGUAGAUCUUUCUCUUGUUUCCUUAUGUAAAUAUAUGUAAAUACUAACAAGCCCUGCAUGCUGAUAUUCUAGGCAAUUUCAGGUCCUUUUAUAAUCUGAAGGCAUGUACUUGAACUGGUUUGUUAAAAGGAAAAAACAAAAAACAAACAAAAAAAAAACCUCUCUCGAACUCUUUAAAGCUGCAUAGAAAUUAAAGAUUUCUUCCUAGA